GAGCUGGUAGCAAACGUUGGCUUUGCAGCGGUUUCUUAAACCGUCCCGACGUGGGUUCGAUUCCCACCCGGCUCA
rnacentral:tRNA from 2 species